rnacentral:tRNA from 1 species
UGGGAGCUGGUGUAAUCCGGCAGCACAGCGGUCUCUGGAACCGCGAGGUGGGGGUUCGAAUCCUCCGCUCCCAG